GUUUGGGAGAGAAGAAUGGUGCGGAAAUAAUACCAUAGGUAAUAGUUUUGUGUGUUCAAACGUCUGGCUGAAAGCUAUUUGCAAUAGUAGGGAAAGAAUGGUGCAGAAGUACGCUGUGAGUGACCUACGGCACGGUUACUGUGAGUGAGUGUUAGUGUGGUAAAAGAAUGGUGAAGAAAUCUACCCAUAGGUUACUGUUAAUAGCGUAUUAGGCAUGUGAGGAAAAAUAAUGGUAAAGAAAUCAACCUAAAGGUUACUUGUAAUAGUAGACGUCAACAAUAGUUUCGUGAGUCAUGGUAUGUCGUCGUGGGCUACAAACCCUCGCGUCUGUCUCAACUCUUGUCUCUCCCACUGCGUGGAGCUGCUGGAGCUGCUCUGGUCGUGGGCGGCGGACCGCCACCACGUGCGCCUCGAGUGGAUGGUCAUCGCGCUCAUUCUGGCCGAGGUCUGCUUCGAGCUGAUACACCUGGCCGAGAGGUACUCGCAGUAGUGGGGAGAAUGGUGUAGAUUUGAGGCUGUAGGUUAGUGUGAGUGAUAGUGUGUGUUUUUUGGGCUGAUAUAUCUGGCUGAAAGGUACUGGCGAUAGUAGGGAAAGAAUGGUGAAAAAGUAGCCGAGGUCUGGUUCGAGCUGAUACACCUGGCCGAGAGGUACGUGCGAGUGGAAUGGACGAUCUCCGACCGACGAUCUGUCUUCAGCAACGAGUUCGAAGAAAACAUGUUUCAGGACCUCUCCAUCAUAGACACACAGUGACAAAUUGUAGCUGACUCUCAAGGCAGCAAACUCAAAUUUAGCAAUGUUAUAACCUAUUUUUAGGCCUUGUUUCACAAUGUCUGGUUAAUGGCUACCUGUUGGUUAAAAUACAUGCUGUCACUGUCUAAAACAUAACUAAAGAGAGUGACAGCAUGCAUUUUAUCCAACAGUUAGCCAUUAACCAGACAUUGCGAAACAAGCCCUUAAUGUAAUUAGAGCGGUAACGGACGGAUAAAAAGGUAAGCGUCCACAUAUUGCACGAAACGGUGGACGCACUUGUGUCAAUUUCUAUAGAAAGAAUAGGUACUGAAUGUGAUGCGUCCGUUGCGUACUAUGCCGAUAGGUGGACGCUUACCUUUUUUUAUUUAUUUACAAAAGCUACGUCCUCUCAUUCGAGAGGCCUUAAGUCCAAAUCCUGCCAUGUAAGUACCAAUGGAUUCUUUCAAUUCAUAUGUCAUGCUCCGGUGAAGGAAAAUAUCGUGAGGAAACCUGUAUCUCCAGAUUCAAGAUGUGUGCCCUAAGUGCAUUGUACUCACUCCAAAACGGUGAUACGGCUAGUUUCCUACGUGUAUUGCCAAAAUCUUGCCAAUAAGAGGCUGGAAUUACUUAUAAAAUUCCACCGUAUUUCUACAGGGUCUUGCAAAAAGGGUAAGUAUACUUAUCCG